rnacentral:tRNA from 1 species
UCCUUCUUAGCUCAGUUGGUAGAGCGCGUCACUAGUAUGGAUCAAUUGAUGACGAGGUCAGUCGUUCAAGUCGGCUAGAAGGAA